rnacentral:lncRNA from 1 species
AGCGGCCCGCCCGCCCGCCGUCCCGGAUGCCGCCGCAGUCGGGGCUUCCGGCUCGAGCCGGAAGCGCUCGCGCCCCGCCCCGCAGGGCCUGCCCCCUGGUGACGUCAGGGAGCCCCGACGGCCGGCUCACCUGCCGGCGCGAGCGAGCUCCAGACGGCCGAAGUGGGACCCGAGCCGAGGCUGCGGCCCGGCCCCCGGCGUCGGCCUCCGUCGGGCUUGGCGGCCUUUGCGGUUGGCAUUCUCGGCCCUGGAGCCCCGUCGCCUUCUCGCCCCAUCGAUCUCUCCUCGUGCGCCGCAGGAACGCCGCGGUCCGCCAUCGAUCGCCGCCUCGCGCGGCCUCCGGCUGUCCAGCCUGGCCCUCGGCACACGGACGCAGACCAGAGCUCUGGGUCCACGGAUUCCAGGAGGGAUAUCAUUUGAACAAAGGGUUCCUUAAGCAUGAAUCUGGAAACCACUGGACGCACAGAGACUUCGUCCUCUGGACUCGUUCCUCCUGUGGCCCGUGGACAGAAAGUCGUCUUCUAGGUGAAACGGCAGGAGGGACCGCAGAAGCAGUAACAGAGCAGCAUGAAGCCAGACAGGACUCAGCUCUUCCACCGGAAAGCUUGAGGACAUGGACUUUGGAUAGACUGAAAGGCGUGAGUCUACUGUUUAGAGCUUGCAAGUCGCCGUCACACAGGUCUACACCCUACCCUUGGGUAAAUGAAGCCGCGUACAACAUUUACAGAACAGUUGGGAGACAUGAAAGUUCACUGGUAAAGGACAGAAUUCUGGAAGAGCACAGACCAAAAAACAUCAGCAUGAGUUAUCUUUGGGUGGUGGAAUUAUAG